rnacentral:rRNA from 1 species
CCCUUAGAUGUUCUGGGCCGCACGCGCGCUACACUGAUGCAUGCAACAAGUCUUUUCCUUGGCCGAGAGGCCUGGGCAAUCUUUGAAUAUGCAUCGUGAUGGGGAUAGACGAUUGCAAUUAUUCGUCUUCAACGAGGAAUUCCUAGUAAACGCAAGUCAUCAGCUUGCAUUGAUUACGUCCCUGCCCUUUGUACACACCGCCCGUCGCACCUACCGAUUGAAUGGUCCGGUGAAGGCUUCGGAGGCGGCUUUCUCAAUGUUUAUUCGGCGAGACUGCUGCCAAAGUUGAAUGAACCUUACCAUUUAGAGGAAGGUGAAGUCGUAACA